AGUGAACGCUGGCGGUAGGCCUAACACAUGCAAGUCGAACGGCAGCACAGUAAGAGCUUGCUCUUACGGGUGGCGAGUGGCGGACGGGUGAGGAAUACAUCGGAAUCUACUUUUUCGUGGGGGAUAACGUAGGGAAACUUACGCUAAUACCGCAUACGACCUACGGGUGAAAGCAGGGGAUCUUCGGACCUUGCGCGAUUGAAUGAGCCGAUGUCGGAUUAGCUAGUUGGCGGGGUAAAGGCCCACCAAGGCGACGAUCCGUAGCUGGUCUGAGAGGAUGAUCAGCCACACUGGAACUGAGACACGGUACAGACUCCUACGGGAGGCAGCAGUGGGGAAUAUUGGACAAUGGGCGCAAGCCUGAUCCAGCCAUACCGCGUGGGUGAAGAAGGCCUUCGGGUUGUAAAGCCCUUUUGUGGGGAAAGAAAAGCAGCAGGUUAAUACCCCGCUGUUCUGACGGUACCCAAAGAAUAAGCACCGGCUAACUUCGU
rnacentral:rRNA from 1 species